ACACCUGUGGUGAAGUGGUUAUCAUGCUUGCCUUCCAUUCUGAAACGUCGGAGUGCAGCAAGCGGCACGAGUUCGAUUCUCGUCGGGUGUA
rnacentral:tRNA from 1 species